AUAUUUCCGAAGGGAGGCAGGAGCAGUGUCACUUUCUCCUAUCCUUGUCUUUAUGUGGAAAAAAUGUGCUAAAUUGUGUACUAAUCCAUUCUGAUCGAUAGGUGGAUUUGGCACUUACUUGUUUGGCAUGAGCGAAACCAUCGCCAAGCAAGCGACAGAGGCUGACGAUCCUCAAAAUGUCAAGAAUCCUCACAUCGGAUGGAUGAUAGGGUUUCUCUUCCUUGCUAGUUUCAUUGGCCUGUUUGCUCUUGUGCCUCUAAGAAAGGUAAACAUUUCAACUCGCUUUUGUGCAUAAAACUCUUGUGGCAUCACUAUAUAGCACAUACCAACUAAUCAUGAACUGAAAUCAUCGGUAUAGGUUAUGAUUGUCGACUACAAGCUUACAUAUCCUAGCGGCACAGCAACUGCUUAUCUUAUCAAUGGUUUCCACACGCCAGAGGGUGCCAAGCUUGCAAAGUAAAUUAUCUUAGUGUUGUUUUCCUUGCUGGUUUUAGUUAUUAUUAUCUGUGGUACUAGGUGUAAAACAAUAUUAAUAAAUUCAUACAUUGUAUUUUUCAGGAAACAAGUAAAAACUCUGGGAAAAUUCUUCUUGUUUAGCUUCCUUUGGGGGUUUUUCCAGUGGUUCUACACUGGUGGAGAUAAUUGUGGAUUCCAGAACUUCCCUACAUUAGGCCUUCAAGCUUAUAAGAACAGGUCAGAGCAUCGACUAUCUUGGUUCAGAAAAAUAGCAUUCACCAUUGCUUGUUAUAGCAUUCUGAAUGUACCAGUUUAGGACACUGAUGAAAUGGCUUCCAUACUGAACUUUCGUUUUCAGGUUUUACUUCGAUUUCUCUCCUACCUAUGUUGGAGUUGGGAUGAUCUGCCCGCACAUCGUGAACGUGUCUGUUCUACUGGGAGGCAUACUUUCCUGGGGAAUAAUGUGGCCUCUAAUUCGCAACAAGAAGGGUAGUUGGUACCCAGCCAGUCUCUCAGAAAGCAGUCUUCAUGGACUGCAAGGUUACAGGGUACAGAUCCAUACAAUCAUCCAUCUUUAGUUUUAACACCUGUUAUAAUCACCCAAGCAGCUAAUCUGGAAAUUCCUGACUAGUGCAGGUUUUUAUAUCCAUCGCUAUUAAUUCUUGGAGAUGUUAGUUUUAACACCUGUUAUAAUCAUCCAAGCAGCUAAUCUGGAAAUUCCUGACUAGUGCAGGUUUUUAUAUCCAUCGCUAUAAUUCUUGGAGAUGGCCUGUACAACUUUGUGAAGGUGCUCAUUCGCACUACCAUAAGGUUUAUAUCCAUGAUGAAGAAAAACAGCACCCUUCCGGUGUCAAACAACGGCAGCCCCAUCGCUGAAGCUGUUUCCUUCGACGACGAACGCCGCACGGAGCUGUUCCUGAAAGAUCAGAUCCCCAGAUCAGUUGCCUAUGGAGGUUACGUGGUUGUCGCUGCCAUCUCAAUCGGCACUCUUCCUCAGGUCUUCCCGAACCUCAAGUGGUACUACAUCCUGGUCGCGUACAUCUUUGCGCCCGUGCUCGCCUUCUGCAACGCCUACGGGACUGGCCUCACCGACUGGUCCCUCGCGUCCACCUACGGCAAGCUCGCCAUCUUCAUCUUCGGCGCGUGGGCUGGCGCGUCCAACGGCGGCGUCCUCGUGGGGCUCGCCGCCUGCGGCGUGAUGAUGAGCAUCGUGUCGACGGCCGCCGACCUGAUGCAAGACUUCAAGACCGGGUACCUGACGCUGGCGUCGCCCAGGUCGAUGUUCAUCAGCCAGGUGAUCGGCACGGCCAUGGGCUGCGUCAUCGCGCCCUGCGUCUUCUGGCUCUUCUACAAGGCCUUCACCGACAUCGGCAUGAGCGGCAGCGAGUACCCGGCGCCCUACGCCAUCGUGUACCGGAACAUGGCCAUCCUCGGCGUGGACGGCUUCUCGUCGCUCCCCAAGAACUGCCUCACCCUCUGCUACAUCUUCUUCGCGGCGGCCAUCGUCGUCAACCUGAUCAGGGACCUGGUGCCGAAGAAGGUCGCCGGGUUCAUCCCGCUGCCGAUGGCCAUGGCGAUCCCGUUCUACCUCGGGUCCUACUUCGCCAUCGACAUGUUCAUCGGCACCGUGAUCCUCUUCGCGUGGCAGAUGAUCAACAGGGCCAAAGCCGACGCCUUCGGGCCUGCCGUUGCGUCGGGGCUGAUCUGCGGCGACGGCAUCUGGACCCUGCCGCAGUCCAUUCUUGCGCUCGCCAAGGUGAAGCCGCCCAUCUGCAUGAAGUUCCUGUCCAGGUCGGUGAACGCCCAAGUGGACGGCUUCCUCGGAAAUUAAACUGUGAAAUUACGAUCUGUCAGCAGUCAGCAUGAAUCACAAGUGUAUAUUGUGUUGAUGCUCCAUGCUGUAAAAUGUACCGGGACGGGUAAAUGUUGCUUCGUCACGAUCUGCUUUUGCUGUACAUGAGUAAGUACACUAGUCGUAGGAAUUUGCCAAACUAAUGUUUGCCGUACACGCGUCAGCAUUAUGGUACCAACAGCUGUAUGUUAACUAUAUACUGUAAGACGUUUUGACUCGAAAUUGUUUUCACUGUGACGAGUCAAAACCCAUAAUUAGCAGAUACAGCUGUUACGACAUGAUGAGUCAAAACUCAUAUUUGAUAGAUACAUUGCUCUUACGUAUCUAGACAUAGUGUAUAUCUAAGUGUAUAAAAAAAUUAUAAAUUUAUAAAAUCUAAAAUGUUUUAUAAUUUGAAAUGAAAGGACUACAUGGCUUCAAAUUUCAUAACUACUCUAUCUCAUCGUAUCGUCGAUAUCGGCAAGGGUAAACCAAAACGUUUUGACUCGAAAUUCCCCUUCUCCAAGCGAAAGAACAUCUGGGCCGUGCAAUCCUGAUCGAAAGGCUGCUACCAGCACCAGCCUACUGCCAACCAGAUUCCCGGGACCCGAUCAUGACGUAACUGGAUUCCAAUUACUUCCAAUAAAUACGCCGAUUACCAAGCAUCAAGUCAUCAACCGUGUCACGAACAAUUAGGCACCCUCACCAUGGCGACGGGCACCGCCGCCGCCAGCGCUUCCGGCGGCCCAGCCGUCCACGCGGGAGCCGACGCCUUGGAGUCAGGCGCCAGCCUGCUGCGGCGACGCCACGCCGACGGCCUUGCGGUUGCUGGUGCGGACGACGGCGACGACGGGGGCGGCAAUGCCGAGGAGGAGGUGGUGGCCUCGGUGGAGCAGGCGUUCGAGGACAAGCCCGUGCCGUCGUGGCGGGAGCAGCUGACGGUGCGCGCCUUCGUGGUGGGGUUCAUCCUCUCCAUCUUGUUCAGCGUCAUCGUGAUGAAGCUGAAUCUCACCACCGGCAUCAUCCCCUCGCUCAACGUCUCCGCCAGCCUUCUCGGCUUCUUCCUCGUCCGCCUCUGGACGAAGGCAAUCGAGAGCAUGGGCUUGCUCAAGCAGCCCUUCACGCGACAGGAGAACACCGUCAUCCAGACCUGCG
rnacentral:lncRNA from 1 species